AACGCUGGCGGCGUGCUUAACACAUGCAAGUCGAACGAGAAAACAUGAGAAGGUUGCUUCUUAUCAAUGCGAGUGGCAAACGGGUGAGUAACGCGUACGGAACCUGCCCUUCAGAUGGGGACAACAGCUGGAAGCGGCUGCUAAUACCGAAUACGUUCUUUCCGCCGCAUGACGGAAAGAGAAAAGGGAGGUCUUCGGGCUUUCGCUGGAGGAGGGGCUUGCGUCUGAUUAACGAGCUGGAGGGGUAACGACCCACCAAGGCAACGAUCAGUAGACGGGCUGAGAGGAUGAACAGACACAUUGGGACUGACACACGGACCAGACUCCUACGGGAGGCACCCAUGGGGAAUCUUCCGGAAUGGACGACAGUCUGACGGAGCAACAGCCGCGUGAACGAUGACAGUCUUCUGGUUGAAAAGUACUGUUAUAUGGCACGAACAGGACAUCACGUAAUACCCGGUGUCUUUGACCGUACCGUAACAGAAAGCCACGGCUAACUACGUGCCAACAGCCGCGGAAAUACGUACGUGGCAAGCGAUGUCCGGAAUUAUUGGGCGAAGAGGGCGCGCAAGCGGCAUCUCACGUCGGUCUUAAUAGUGCGGAGCUUAAACCCGUGAGGAGACCGAAACUGAGAAGCUCAAUUGUCAGAGAGGAAAGCGGAAUUCAUAGUGUAGCGGUGAAAUAGGUAGAUAUUAGGAGGAUCUCCAGUGGCGAAAGCGUCUUUAUGGACGACAACUGACGAUGAGGCGCGAAAGACAGUGGAGCAAGCGGGAUUAGAUCACGCGGUAGUCCUGUCCGUAUACGAUGGAUAAUAGGUGUAGGAGGUAUGGAGUCGUUCUGUGCCGGAGUUAACGCAAUAAGUAUCCGUCCUGUGGGAGUACGGGCGCAAGGGUGAAACUCAAAGGAAUUGACGGGGGUCCGCACAAGCGGUGGAGUACGUGGUUUAAUUUGACGCAACGCGAAGAACCUUGACAAGCCUUGACAUUGAUUGAUAUGGAAAGAGAUUUCAUGGUUCUUAUUUGGAUGACAAGAAAACAGGUGGUGCACGGCCGUCGUCAUCUUGAGUUGUGAGAUGGUGGAGUUAAGUCUGCAUACGAGCGCAACCCCUAUCUUUUGUUGUCCAGCACCUCGGGUGGGGACUUCAGAACGAGACUGCCGCAGACAAUGCGGAGGAAGGCGGGGAUGACGUCAAGUCAUCAUGCCCCUUAUGGCUUGGGCUACACACGUACUACAAUGGCUCUUAAUAGAGGGAAGCGAAGGAGCGAUCCGGAGCAAACCUCAAAAACAGAGUCCCAGUUCGGAUUGCAGGCUGCAACUCGCCUGCAUGAAGCAGGAAUCGCUAGUAAUCGCAGGUCAGCAUACCGCGGUGAAUACGUUCCCGGGCCUUGUACACACCGCCCGUCACACCACGAAAGUCAUUCACACCCGAAGCCGGUGAGGCAACCGCAAGGAACCAGCCGUCGAAGGUGGGG
rnacentral:rRNA from 1 species